rnacentral:rRNA from 1 species
GAUGAACGCUGGCGGCGUGCCUAAUACAUGCAAGUCGAGCGAACAGACGAGGAGCUUGCUCCUCUGACGUUAGCGGCGGACGGGUGAGUAACACGUGGAUAACCUACCUAUAAGACUGGGAUAACUUCGGGAAACCGGAGCUAAUACCGGAUAACAUGUUGAACCGCAUGGUUCAACAGUGAAAGACGGUUUGGCUGUCACUUAUAGAUGGAUCCGCGCCGCAUUAGCUAGUUGGUAAGGUAACGGCUUACCAAGGCAACGAUGCGUAGCCGACCUGAGAGGGUGAUCGGCCACACUGGAACUGAGACACGGUCCAGACUCCUACGGGAGGCAGCAGUAGGGAAUCUUCCGCAAUGGGCGAAAGCCUGACGGAGCAACGCCGCGUGAGUGAAGAAGGUCUUCGGAUCGUAAAACUCUGUUAUUAGGGAAGAACAAAUGUGUAAGUAACUAUGCACGUCUUGACGGUACCUAAUCAGAAAGCCACGGCUAACUACGUG